rnacentral:lncRNA from 1 species
CAAAUAUGUAUCCUACUGACCCUAAAACUAAAUUUUGACAGUGAAGUAAUAGUUGGAGAAACUGUGUAGUAUGAUGAAAAUUGAAAAUGAGCAGAAAAAUGAGAAACCCAUAAAGAGUAAUGAAUCAAGUCUGAACCUGGAAAAGUUAAUGGACAUGGUUGCAACAUGUUACUAGGUAAUCGUUACAUACUCUCCUACACUAACUUUGACUACUCCUUCAAUUUCUCAUCAAGUU